rnacentral:rRNA from 1 species
AACGAACGCUGGCGGCAUGCCUAACACAUGCAAGUCGAACGAGACGGUCGGGCCUAGUGGCGCAGGGGUGCGUGACGCGGGGGAAGUUGCCCGUAGGUUCGGUACACCUCCCUGUAAGGGGUGUUAAUACAGGUUAAGCUCUUCGGACAAAGGAUCUUUUGCUUUAGGGUGGGGGCGGGUUAGUUUAGCUGGUUGGUAGGGUAAAAGCAGACCAACGGGUCGAUGCAUAGCUGGUCGGAGAGGAAGACCAGCCACACUGGGACUAAGACACGGCCCAGACUCCUACGGAAGGGAGCAGUGGGGAAUAUUGGACAAUGGGCGAAAGCCUGAUCCAGCAGUGCCGCGUGAGUGAUGAAGGCCUUAGGGUUGUAAAGCUCUUUUACCCGGGAUGAUAAUGACAGUACCGGGAGAAUAAGCUCCGGCUAACUCCGUG